AGACAAUGAAUCAACAAUAAAUAUAUGCAUUAAAUUAAAUAUACAUAUAAAAUACACAAAUACAUAUAAAAACAGGAAAAUAAAAUAAAUAUUACAUACUUCUGGGCCCCCCUAAUCCCUAUGAUCUCCACACAAUCCCUCCGCCUGAUGCUCAUGGAGUAUUCUUAUGCACUGAAUGUAUUGUCAGAGCUCCACGCUGGGUGAUAUUUCAUCCCUGGAGGCCUGCCAGGUCAUUCCUGAGGACAGACACUAGGCUAUAUCUGCUGGCUGACAGCAGCCAGGACAUAAAAGCUACCAUUGUUUCAGCAGUCUGUUGUGGCCUCAGUCAGUGCACAUCUUAUAGACAACAGCCAGUUUGUCACAAUGUCAAUUUCCAGGGACGCCCAAAAGGGAACCCAAAAGCAUUUGACAAGCCAAAAUGCAAGAUUUCUGCAUCUCGAAAACUCUCGCUUAAGGUUUGUUUCCCUCAUUAUAGAACAUUUACAUAGAAUUUGUCUAAUAUGAAUCAAAUUUUCAAUUUCUUUAAGCAGAAUCAGCAUGACGGCAACUGUUAUUACAUACUAAGGCUUAAUAUUCUGUAACUACAAGGACAUCAGUGCAAACAGGCUGAGCUAUUUCUAGGUUAUUGAAGUGUGUGAUAAAACUUUGUGGGCCCUGGCCAUUUAAGGGAUCAAGAGAUGAGAAGGGGGGAGACUGGGUGGGAGAGGUAUGCUGACCUCCUGAUAAUCAUAGACAGAACUCAGGAUAACUUGUCCUUAUAUUUAACAAAAGCUCUAUAAGAUAGUAAGUCAUUCUUGCGAGACUUAAGGUCAUAAUUGUUGAAAACUUUCUCAUUAUUAUGAGACACUAAAUCAUAUUUAUGAGACAGUAGCCAUAAUUUUGAGAAACUUUAUCAAAACUUUUGAAAACUAAAACUAAAAAACUUUUUAACUGUUUAAAACUUUUUAACUGCUUAAUAUGUUUAUUACACCAACUGCAAAUUUCACAUUUUUUUUACCAAAUAUUUGAACUUUUAUACCAGGUACCUUUUCCUUUUAUUUGUCCCUUUCCCAUCCUUCCACUCUUCCACUCCAUAAACAACUACUACUGUUCUAAACUACUAAACUAACCUGACUCCAGAUUUUAUUUCAUCUACCUCUUUUUCUCUCUUCACUUGGCUCUUUUUCUUUCUUACACCUCAGUCCUCAAUGAUUACUGAAUAAUCAUACAUUAAAAACACAUUAUAGGCCAGGCAAGGCAAGGCAAGUUUAUUUAUAUAGCACCUUUCAUA
ensembl:lncRNA